AUUGAACGCUGGCGGCAUGCCUUUACACAUGCAAGUCGAACGGUAACAGGUCUUCGGAUGCUGACGAGUGGCGAACGGGUGAGUAAUACAUCGGAACGUGCCCGAUCGUGGGGGAUAACGCAGCGAAAGCUGUGCUAAUACCGCAUACGAUCUACGGAUGAAAGCGGGGGAUCGCAAGACCUCGCGCGGACGGAGCGGCCGAUGGCAGAUUAGGUAGUUGGUGGGGUAAAGGCACACCAAGCCUUCGAUCUGUAGCUGGUCUGAGAGGACGACCAGCCACACUGGGACUGAGACACGGCCCAGACUCCUACGGGAGGCAGCAGUGGGGAAUUUUGGACAAUGGGCGCAAGCCUGAUCCAGCCAUGCCGCGUGCAGGAUGAAGGCCUUCGGGUUGUAAACUGCUUUUGUACGGAACGAAAAGGUCUGCCUUAAUACGGCGGGCCCAUGACGGUACCGUAAGAAUAAGCACCGGCUAACUACGUG
rnacentral:rRNA from 1 species